rnacentral:rRNA from 1 species
AUUGAACGCUGGCGGCAGGCCUAACACAUGCAAGUCGAACGAGUGGCGGACGGGUGAGUAAUGCUUGGGAAUCUGGCUUAUGGAGGGGGAUAACGACGGGAAACUGUCGCUAAUACCGCGUACCAUAGGAUGAGCCCAAGUGGGAUUAGGUAGUUGGUGGGGUAAUGGCCUACCAAGCCGACGAUCUCUAGCUGGUCUGAGAGGAUGACCAGCCACAACGGAACUGAGACACGGGCCAGACUCCCACGGGAGGCAGGAGGGGGGAAUAUUGCACAAUGGGGGCAACCUGACGCAGCCAUGCCGCGUGAAUGAAGAAGGCCUUCGGGUUGUAAAGGUCUUUCGGUGAGGAGGCGUUAACCACAGAAGAAGCACCGGCUAACUCCGUGCCAGCCGCCGCGGUAAUAC